AUUGAACGCUAGCGGGAUGCCUUACACAUGCAAGUCGAACGGCAGCGCGGACUUCGGUCUGGCGGCGAGGUGGCGGAACGGGUGAGUAAUGUAUCGGAACGUCGCCCAGUAGGCGGGGGAACAACCACUACGAAAGAGUGGCUAAUACCGCAUACGCCCGUACGGGGAAAGGGGGGGAUCGAAAGACCUCUCACUAUUGGAGCGGCCGAUAUCGGAUUAGCUAGUUGGCGGGGUAAAGGCCUACCAAGGCGACGAUCCGUAGCUGGUUUGAGAGGACGACCAGCCACACUGGGACUGAGACACGGCCCAGACUCCUACGGGAGGCAGCAGUGGGGAAUUUUGGACAAUGGGGGAAACCCUGAUCCAGCCAUUCCGCGUGUGCGAUGAAGGCCUUCGGGUUGUAAAGCACUUUUGGCAGGAAAGAAAUCGUGUGGGUUAAUACCCUGCGCGGAUGACGGUACCUGCAGAAUAAGCACCGGCUAACUACGUG
rnacentral:rRNA from 1 species